rnacentral:rRNA from 1 species
GACGAACCGUGCGAACGUUGUUCGGAAUCACUGGGCUUAAAGGGCGCGUAGGCGGGCCGGACGGUCCGCGGUGAAAUCCCCCCGCUCAACGGGGGAACGGCCGCGGAUACCGCCGGCCUCGAGGGGGGUAGGGGCGAGCGGAACGCUGGGUGGAGCGGUGAAAUGCGUUGAUAUCCAGCGGAACUCCGGUGGCGAAGGCGGCUCGCUGGACCCCCACUGACGCUGAGGCGCGAAAGCGUGGGUAGCAAACAGG